rnacentral:rRNA from 1 species
UACGUAGGGGGCAAGCGUUGUCCGGAUUUAUUGGGCGUAAAGAGCGUGUAGGCGGCCAGGGAGGUCCGUUGUGAAAACUCGAGGCUCAACCUCGAGACGCCGAUGGAAACCCCCUGGCUAGAGUCCGGAAGAGGAGAGUGGAAUUCCUGGUGGUAGCGGUGGAAAUGCGCAGAUAUCAGGAAGAACACCCGUGGCUAAGGCGGCUCUCUAGUACGGUACUGACGCUGAGACGCGAAAGCGUGGGGAGCGAACAGG